rnacentral:rRNA from 1 species
CCUACGGGAGGCAGCAGUGAGGAAUAUUGGUCAAUGGGCGCAAGGCUGAACCAGCCAAGUCGCGUGAAGGAUGACUGCCCUACGGGUUGUAAACUUCUUUUAUCAAGGAAUAAAAUCAGGCACGUGUGCCUUUCCGUAUGUACUUUAUGAAUAAGCAUCGGCUAACUCCGUGCCAGCAGCCGCGGUAAUACGGAGGAUCCGAGCGUUAUCCGGAUUUAUUGGGUUUAAAGGGAGCGUAGAUGGGUUGUUAAGUCAGUUGUUAAAGGUUGGGGCCUAACCGUAAAAUGGCCGUUGAAACUGGCAGCCUUGAGUAGAGUUGAGGUAGGCGGAAUGCGUGGUGUAGCGGUGAAAUGCUUAGAUAUUACGCAGAACUCCGAUUGCGAAGGCAGCAUUCUAAAGUGGAACUGACAUUGAUGCUCGAAAGUGUGGGUAUCAAACAGGAUUAGAUACCCCGGUAGUC